rnacentral:misc_RNA from 1 species
GAUGAAGAACGUAGCGAAAUGCGAUACUUGGUGUGAAUUGCAGAAUCCCGUGAACCAUCGAGUCUUUGAACGCAAGUUGCGCCCGAAGCCAUUAGGCCGAGGGCACGCCUGCCUGGGCGUCACACGUCGUUGCCCCCCCAUCUACUCCUUCGGGAUUGCGGGGGGCGGAUGAUGGCCUCCCGUGCGCCUCGUCGCGCGGUUGGCAUAAAUGCCAAGUCCUCGGCGACACACGCCACGACAAUCGGUGGUUGCGAAACCUCGGUUGCCCGUCGUGUGCGGUCGUCGCGCAUCGAGGGCUCGAAAAAAUUGCCGGGCUCCGGCUCGGCUUUCAACGCGACCCCAGGUCAGGCGGGGUUACCCGCUGAGUUUAAGCAUAUCAAUAAGCGGAGGA